rnacentral:rRNA from 1 species
GGGUUGUGAGGUUAAGCGACUAAGCGUACACGGUGGAUGCCCUGGCAGUCAGAGGCGAUGAAGGACGUGCUAAUCUGCGAAAAGCGCCGGCGAGGUGAUAUGAACCUUUGACCCGGCGAUGUCCGAAUGGGGAAACCCAGUGCAAUCCGUUGCACUAUCGUUAACUGAAUACAUAGGUUAACGAGGCGAACCGGGGGAACUGAAACAUCUAAGUACCCCGAGGAAAAGAAAUCAACCGAGAUUCCCCCAGUAGCGGCGAGCGAACGGGGAGCAGCCCGGAGUCUGAAUCAGCUUGUGUGUUAGUGGAACGGUCUGGAAAGUCCGACGGUACAGGGUGAUAGUCCCGUACACGAAAGCACACAUGCUGUGAACUCGAAGAGUAGGGCGGGACACGUGGUAUCCUGUCUGAAUAUGGGGGGACCAUCCUCCAAGGCUAAAUACUCCUGACUGACCGAUAGUGAACCAGUACCGUGAGGGAAAGGCGAAAAGAACCCCGGCGAGGGGAGUGAAAAAGAACCUGAAACCGUGUACGUACAAGCAGUGGGAGCCUCUUUAUGGGGUGACUGCGUACCUUUUGUAUAAUGGGUCAGCGACUUAUAUUCUGUAGCAAGGUUAACCGUAUAGGGGAGCCGAAGGGAAACCGAGUCUUAACUGGGCGUUAAGUUGCAGGGUAUAGACCCGAAACCCGGUGAUCUAGCCAUGGGCAGGUUGAAGGUUGGGUAACACUAACUGGAGGACCGAACCGACUAAUGUUGAAAAAUUAGCGGAUGACCUGUGGCUGGGGGUGAAAGGCCAAUCAAACCGGGAGAUAGCUGGUUCUCCCCGAAAGCUAUUUAGGUAGCGCCUCGUGAACUCAUCUUCGGGGGUAGAGCACUGUUUCGGCUAGGGGGCCAUCCCGGCUUACCAACCCGAUGCAAACUACGAAUACCGAAGAAUGUUAUCACGGGAGACACACGGCGGGUGCUAACGUCCGUCGUGAAGAGGGAAACAACCCAGACCGCCAGCUAAGGUCCCAAAGUCAUGGUUAAGUGGGAAACGAUGUGGGAAGGCACAGACAGCCAGGAUGUUGGCUUAGAAGCAGCCAUCAUUUAAAGAAAGCGUAAUAGCUCACUGGUCGAGUCGGCCUGCGCGGAAGAUGUAACGGGGCUAAACCAUGCACCGAAGCUGCGGCAGCGACACUAUGUGUUGUUGGGUAGGGGAGCGUUCUGUAAGCCGUUGAAGGUGUCCUGUGAGGGGUGCUGGAGGUAUCAGAAGUGCGAAUGCUGACAUAAGUAACGAUAAAGCGGGUGAAAAGCCCGCUCGCCGGAAGACCAAGGGUUCCUGUCCAACGUUAAUCGGGGCAGGGUGAGUCGACCCCUAAGGCGAGGCCGAAAGGCGUAGUCGAUGGGAAACAGGUUAAUAUUCCUGUACUUGGUGUUACUGCGAAGGGGGGACGGAGAAGGCUAUGUCAGCCGGGCGACGGUUGUCCCGGUUUAAGCAUGUAGGCGGAGGUUCCAGGUAAAUCCGGUACCUUAUUAACGCUGAGGUGUGAUGACGAGGCACUACGGUGCUGAAGUGAUAAAUGCCCUGCUUCCAGGAAAAGCCUCUAAGCAUCAGGUAACACGAAAUCGUACCCCAAACCGACACAGGUGGUCAGGUAGAGAAUACCAAGGCGCUUGAGAGAACUCGGGUGAAGGAACUAGGCAAAAUGGUGCCGUAACUUCGGGAGAAGGCACGCUGAUGUGUAGGUGAAGUCCCUGCGGACGGAGCUGAAAUCAGUCGAAGAUACCAGCUGGCUGCAACUGUUUAUUAAAAACACAGCACUGUGCAAACACGAAAGUGGACGUAUACGGUGUGACGCCUGCCCGGUGCCGGAAGGUUAAUUGAUGGGGUUAGCGGCAACGCGAAGCUCUUGAUCGAAGCCCCGGUAAACGGCGGCCGUAACUAUAACGGUCCUAAGGUAGCGAAAUUCCUUGUCGGGUAAGUUCCGACCUGCACGAAUGGCGUAAUGAUGGCCAGGCUGUCUCCACCCGAGACUCAGUGAAAUUGAACUCGCUGUGAAGAUGCAGUGUACCCGCGGCAAGACGGAAAGACCCCGUGAACCUUUACUAUAGCUUGACACUGAACACUGGUCCUUGAUGUGUAGGAUAGGUGGGAGGCUUUGAAGCGUGGACGCCAGUCUGCGUGGAGCCAACCUUGAAAUACCACCCUUUAAUGGCUGGUGUUCUAACGUAGACCCGUGAUCCGGGUUGCGGACAGUGUCUGGUGGGUAGUUUGACUGGGGCGGUCUCCUCCCAAAGAGUAACGGAGGAGCACGAAGGUUGGCUAAUCCUGGUCGGACAUCAGGAGGUUAGUGCAAUGGCAUAAGCCAGCUUGACUGCGAGCGUGACGGCGCGAGCAGGUGCGAAAGCAGGUCAUAGUGAUCCGGUGGUUCUGAAUGGAAGGGCCAUCGCUCAACGGAUAAAAGGUACUCCGGGGAUAACAGGCUGAUACCGCCCAAGAGUUCAUAUCGACGGCGGUGUUUGGCACCUCGAUGUCGGCUCAUCACAUCCUGGGGCUGAAGUAGGUCCCAAGGGUAUGGCUGUUCGCCAUUUAAAGUGGUACGCGAGCUGGGUUUAGAACGUCGUGAGACAGUUCGGUCCCUAUCUGCCGUGGGCGCUGGAGAAUUGAGGGGGGCUGCUCCUAGUACGAGAGGACCGGAGUGGACGCAUCACUGGUGUUCGGGUUGUCAUGCCAAUGGCACUGCCCGGUAGCUAAAUGCGGAAAAGAUAAGUGCUGAAAGCAUCUAAGCACGAAACUUGCCCCGAGAUGAGUUCUCCCUGAGACCUUGAGUCUCCUGAAGGAACGUUGAAGACGACGACGUUGAUAGGUCGGGUGUGUAAGCGCAGCGAUGCGUUGAGCUAACCGAUACUAAUGAACCGUGAGGCUUAACCUUACAACGCCGAAGCUGUU